rnacentral:rRNA from 1 species
UACAGAGGGUGCGAGCGUUAAUCGGAAUUACUGGGCGUAAAGCGUGCGUAGACGGUUACGUAAGUCGGAUGUGAAAUCCCCGGGCUCAACCUGGGAAUUGCAUUCGAGACUGUGUAGCUGGGGUGCGGAAGAGGGAAGCGGAAUUUCCGGUGUAGCGGUGAAAUGCGUAGAUAUCGGAAGGAACAUCAGUGGCGAAAGCGGCUUCCUGGUCCAGCACCGACGUUCAGGCACGAAAGCGUGGGGAGCAAACAGG